GACGUAGGGCGCGAGCGUUGUCCGGAUUUAUUGGGCGUAAAGAGCUCGUAGGCGGCUUGUUGCGUCGACUGUGAAAACCCGCGGCUUAACUGCGGGCUUGCAGUUGAUACGGGCAGGCUAGAGUUCGGUAGGGGAGACUGGAAUUCCUGGUGUAGCGGUGAAAUGCGCAGAUAUCAGGAGGAACACCGAUGGCGAAGGCAGGUCUCUGGGCCGAUACUGACGCUGAGGAGCGAAAGCGUGGGGAGCAAACAGG
rnacentral:rRNA from 1 species